rnacentral:lncRNA from 1 species
AACCUCAUUCAUAUACACCAAAAUAGAGGUUACAAGAGCCAUAAAGAGAAUAAAGCUCUCAUACAUCCAAUCUAUAAAAUAUAACUAAGUAAUCUAAUACAAAAUAAAGUCAGAGAGACAGGGCAUCGAGCAUAAGAUCUAGAUAGGUAAAGACAUGAUCAACCUCAUCCACGAUCGAAGGGUCUAGUCUGAGAAGAGGAUG